rnacentral:rRNA from 1 species
AACGUAGGAGACAAACGUUAUCCGGAGUUACUGGGCGUAAAGGGCGUGCAGGUGGUCUGUUAAGUCUGGCGUGAAAGCUCUCGGCUAAACCGGGAGAGGUCGUUGGAUACUGGCGGACUAGAGGACGGUAGAGGUGUGUGGAAUUCCGGGUGUAGUGGUGAAAUGCGUAGAGAUCCGGAGGAACACCAGAAGCGAAGGCGGCUCACUGGCCCGAUACUGACGCUGAGGCGCGAAAGCGUGGGGAGCAAACAGG